GGUCGAUUAGCUUAGUCGGUAGAGCGUGGUACUAAUAGUCCAAUCUGGUCUUCUCCUCAUUGGAUUGACAUGCCAAGGUCAUGGGUUCGAUCCCCAUAUUGACCA
rfam:Puccinia graminis f. sp. tritici CRL 75-36-700-3 supercont2.15 genomic scaffold, whole genome shotgun sequence.